UCACAUCCUGGGGCUGAAGUCGGUCCCAAGGGUAUGGCUGUUCGCCAUUUAAAGUGGUACGCGAGCUGGGUUCAGAACGUCGUGAGACAGUUCGGUCCCUAUCUGCCGUGGGCGUUGGAUGAUUGAAGGGAGUUGCUCCUAGUACGAGAGGACCGGAGUGAACGAACCUCUGGUGUUCGGGUUGUCACGCCAGUGGCACUGCCCGGUAGCUAAGUUCGGAAUCGAUAACCGCUGAAAGCAUCUAAGCGGGAAGCGAGCCCUGAGAUGAGUCAUCCCUGACCCCUUGAGGGUCCUAAAGGGCCGUUGGAGACCACAACGUUGAUAGGUGGGGUGUGUAAGUGCAGCGAUGCAUUGAGCUAACCCAUACUAAUUACCCGUGAGGCUUAACCAUACAACACCCAAGAAGUGUUCUG
rnacentral:rRNA from 1 species